GGACCCGCACAAGUAGUGGAGCAUGUGGUUUAAUUCGAAGAUACGCGCAGAACCUUACCAACACUUGACAUGUUCGUCGCGACUUUAAGAGAUUAAAGUUUUCGGUUCGGCCGGACGAAACACAGGUGCUGCAUGGCUGUCGUCAGCUCGUGUCGUGAGAUGUUGGGUUAAGUCCCGCAACGAGCGCAACCCUCACUUUUAGUUGCCAUCAUUAAGUUGGGCACUCUGAAAGAACUGCCAGUGAUAAGCUGGAGGAAGGUGGGGAUGACGUCAAGUCCUCAUGGCCCUUACGUGUUGGGCUACACACGUGCUACAAUGGUAUCUACAACAGGAAGCAAAACGGCGACGUUAAGCAAAUCCUCAAAACCGAUCUCAGUUCGGAUUGGAGUCUGCAACUCGACUCCAUG
rnacentral:rRNA from 1 species